GUUGGGGCCGUAGGCUCAUUCCUGUGUGGACGGAAGGGGCCUGGGGCUUGAACCCGAGUCCCAGUUCACGUGCUGUGUAGGCGGGUACGUCGCAGCAGGGAACAGCCGGGGCCUGCGAGCGCUCUGCCCCUCCCCCCACCUCCCGCAUGGAGCAUCCCCCAGAUCCGGGGGAUUGUUCUACUGACAAGAUCUGCCAGGCAAGCUUGGAAUCUGGAAGUUCACAUUACUUAGCUAUUGUUCAGCAUUAAAUUAUUGCUCUUGACUUGUGAAAGGUGAACUAAGACUUUUCUGACUGCACUUGUUGACAUGUGGGUAAUUGUGAAGAGUUUCUAUGUUCCAUCUGAAUUUCUUCUUUCACCUUUAACGAAGAUACUUGAAAAUUGUUUAAUUUGUUUCCUCUUUUUCAUUGAGGGGGUUAAAGUAAUCUAGUUGCUGAUGUAAUGUUUUUUAUAGUGGAAAAAGUAGUGGUGAAGGCAAGAAAUCAGUCUCAAAGCAUUUGUUUCAGCUGCAACCUGUAGAUCUUGGGAGACUGCUUUUGGAGGCUGUUGUAAAAUCCUCUUCAUUUGUAUUGUUAAUAAACAUGAUAUGCUGCCCUUGAUUUAAAUAUGU
rnacentral:lncRNA from 1 species